GAAAGUCAUCCAAACUCGGUCGUUUAGAGGAAGUAAAAGUCGUAACAAGGUCUCCGUUGGUGAACCAGCGGAGGGAUCAUU
rnacentral:rRNA from 1 species